ensembl:rRNA 5S_rRNA 5S ribosomal RNA
GACUACAGCCAUACCACCCUGAACGCACCUGAUCUCAGAAGCUAAGCAAGGUUGGGCCUGGUUAGUACUUGGAUGGGAGAAUUGACAGGCUAGAGUAUACU